rnacentral:rRNA from 1 species
CCUACGGGUGACAGCAGUGGGGAAUAUUGGACAAUGGGGGCAACCCUGAUCCAGCCAUGCCGCGUGUGUGAAGAAGGCCCUCGGGUUGUAAAGCACUUUCAGUGAGGAAGAACGCCUGGUGGUUAAUACCCAUCAGGAAAGACAUCACUCACAGAAGAAGCACCGGCUAACUCCGUGCCAGCAGCCGCGGUAAUACGGAGGGUGCGAGCGUUAAUCGGAAUUACUGGGCGUAAAGCGCGCGUAGGUGGCUUGAUAAGCCGGUUGUGAAAGCCCCGGGCUCAACCUGGGAACGGCAUCCGGAACUGUCAAGCUAGAGUGCAGGAGAGGAAGGUAGAAUUCCCGGUGUAGCGGUGAAAUGCGUAGAGAUCGGGAGGAAUACCAGUGGCGAAGGCGGCCUUCUGGACUGACACUGACACUGAGGUGCGAAAGCGUGGGUAGCAAACAGGAUUAGUUACCCCUGUAGUC